rnacentral:rRNA from 1 species
GUUAUAUGGUCAAGCGAAUAAGCGCACACGGUGGAUGCCUAGGCGGUCAGAGGCGAUGAAGGACGUGGUAGCCUGCGAAAAGUGUCGGGGAGCUGGCAACAAGCUUUGAUCCGGCAAUAUCCGAAUGGGGAAACCCACUGCUUCGGCAGUAUCCUGCAGUGAAUUCAUAGCUGCUGGAAGCGAACCCGGUGAACUGAAAUAUCUAAGUAACCGGAGGAAAAGAAAUCAACCGAGAUUCCCUAAGUAGUGACGAGCGAACGGGGAGCAGCCCUUAAGCUGGAAUGGCUUUAGAAAAACAAUCUGGAAAGAUUGGCCAUAGAAGGUGAUAGCCCUGUAUUUAAAAGGGCCACUCCAGUGAAGACGAGUAGGGCGGGGCACGUGAAACCCUGUCUGAAUAUGGGGGGACCAUCCUCCAAGGCUAAAUACUCCUGACCGACCGAUAGUGAACCAGUACCGUGAGGGAAAGGCGAAAAGAACCCCGGAGAGGGGAGUGAAAUAGAUCCUGAAACCGUGUGCGUACAAGCAGUAGGAGCUCGCAAGAGUGACUGCGUACCUUUUGUAUAAUGGGUCAGCGACUUACUGUUCGUGGCAAGCUUAACCGUAUAGGGGAGGCGAAGGGAAACCGAGUCUGAUAAGGGCGCAUAGUCGCGGGCAGUAGACCCGAAACCGGGUGAUCUAGUCAUGGCCAGGGUGAAGGUGCCGUAACAGGUACUGGAGGCCCGAACCCACGUCUGUUGCAAAAGA